rfam:Schistocephalus solidus strain NST_G2 genome assembly, scaffold: SSLN_contig0002790
GGCCUCGUAUCUCAGUUGGCUAGAAUGUUGGUUGGCUCUACUAAAGCCUUCCCCUUGCUGGCGUGGGUUCAAAUCCCACUGAGGCCG